GACGUAGGGCGCGAGCGUUGUCCGGAUUUAUUGGGCGUAAAGAGCUCGUAGGCGGCUUGUCGCGUCGACUGUGAAAACCCGCGGCUCAACCGUGUGGCGGGCAGUUGAUACGGGCAGGCUAGAGUUCGGUAGGGGAGACUGGAAUUCCUGGUGUAGCGGUGGAAUGCGCAGAUAUCAGGAGGAACACCAAUGGCGAAGGCAGAUCUCUGGGCCGUAACUGACGCUGAGGAGCGAAAGCAUGGGGAGCGAACAGG
rnacentral:rRNA from 1 species